UGAGAUGUUUGAAAAACAAAAGAGGCGAAAUGGCCGAAUAGUGUUUAACUGCCUUGGUUAGGGCAGAGUCACCUAGGUUUACACGCAGGAUUAGCAGCAGCAGCGCGACACAGGCAGGAGCCCUGGCACUCUUCUCUCCUCAGUUAGUCCUCAGCAUAAAGCCAGGUCAGUGUUUCUUGUGCUUCAGGUCAUUAACAACUGAGGUAGAGGCAUUUUAUGUUGCUACAAGUUACUGUUUCUGUAGUCCUGGGACUGAACGCAGGGCCCACUCACAUGUUAGACAAGCUCUACCACUGAGCCACCACCCUCUUACAAUUUUGUAUUUUGAGACAUGGUCUUAGGACGUUGCCUAGGCUGGCCUUGAGUUUGUUCAGUGGCUGAGCCUGGUCUUCAGUUUAUAUUCUUGUCACCCAGGUAACUAAGGCCAGCCCUAUCAGCCCAGGCUGCUUGAAGAUCUUCUAGGGAAGGGGUUUGGGGAGCAGGGUCUUAUGUGACAGAAUAGCUUCACACUCGCCAUGUCGCUGAAGGUGACCUCAAAUUCCUAGUGCUGUCCUGGGUGCUAGGAUUUUAGGUCUCUGUCAUCACGACCAGCUAAGGACAGAAUUAGACCAGCAUGAGCGUCUUCAAAAUUCAUGUGCAAGACAUUACUAUGGGAUUUUGUUGGUUUGCCUAUACUGAAAAAGCCAGUAGUAAGAUGGCCGACUCAAAUGUCUUAAGGAAGUAUCUCACUUCCCCAGUGAGAGACUUCAUGCAGAAGUUACAGUUGGGUUCCUUUGAGAAUCUUGUUGAAACGGUUUAGUCCAGGCUGGCCUCAUACUUGCAGUCCUGCCUCAGCCUACCUAAUGUUUAGAUUCCAUGGUACACCAAUGGUCACCUCAGCUGUGAGGCAUGCAGGAAUAACAGACUCGAGCCAUCAGGCUCUCUCCCUUCUGCCCUGACAGGACACCCUCAGGUGCACAUUCAGCCUGCUCUAGCCUACAUGCUGGGUGGUUUCCGUAUGUCGCAUACCUGUGUCUGUCAUGAGUGAGACUUGGUCUCAGCACACCGUUGUUCUUUCUCUUCUUGUAAUUACAUGUAAACUCUGUUUAGCUUUCGAAUCCUAGAUUGCAGAAUCUUUUGUCUUGGUGUUUGCAGUAAUGCUUUGCUGUUGCUGGUUUGGCACUGAACUUUGAUGCCCAUAAAAUCCUGGCAGACUUACGUCACUGGGGAUGAAUGUAAGCCUUGCACAAACUUAGAGCUAUUCACAUACGAUGAGCCUUCAGCAAGCUGCCCAGUCCUCAUGGCAGACUUACCUGGCUGUAGCUGCUUCUCUCCUUUUGUUAAACCUCUAGCAAUCGAUGUAGAUUUAACUCAUCUUUUAGUUUUCUUAGGAAUCACACAGACUUAACUUUCAGUUGGCCUCUCAAGGAAGAGAAAAGAAGUUGCUGCCAAUAAUUUCACAGCACAUUUUUGGCUUUGCACUGUAUUCUCUGUUCACCAUUGAAUAUGAAUAGCAUGGUCAUCGGGAGUUUAUGGUUGGAGAACAACAGUACUAGAGAUACAGCCUGUACUCGUCUAAUGUGACUUGUCCCUUUCCUCUGCAGUUGGGGCUCACUGCUUCUUCCCUGCCUUAGGACCCAUUGGGGGUCUGAGUGGGUCAGAGACAGUGAGUUAACAGUGUCAACUAAAUACACUGAUUAUGUGCUGUGCUUCAUUAUGUUAAGAGACCAAGUUAAUCAACGGUUAUACAGUACAUAGUCUUGCUAUGUGCUAAGCUCUGCCUCUUGGCUAGUAGAUGUCUAAAAUCUGGGGAAUAGCAUCCAAGAAGUACUAUUGUAUUUGGGGGUUACAAAAGCAGACCUAGACAAGUGUUCACUUGAAUGAUACCUGUUGGUCAGAAAGAUUUUAUUAAAAGAUUAUGAUCAUGUAAAAAUUACAGUCAGUACUCAACCCUUCUAGCAAAAUAUUUUUUGAAAAAUAAACUAAAUGCCUUUAUAAACAUG